GUGAGUAGUUCUAGAGUUUGAUCCUGGCUCAGGACGAACGCUGGCGGCGUGCCUAACACAUGCAAGUCGAACGGGGCACCUUCGGGUGCUUAGUGGCGAACGGGUGAGUAACGCGUGAGAAACCUGCCUUUCAGUGGGGACAACAGUUGGAAACGACUGCUAAUACCGCAUGACACUUUUAAGGGGCAUCCCUUUUAAGUCAAAGCUUUAUGUGCUGAAAGAUGGACUCGCGUCUGAUUAGCUAGAUGGCGGGGUAACGGCCCACCAUGGCGACGAUCAGUAGCCGGUCUGAGAGGAUGAACGGCCACAUUGGGACUGAGAUACGGCCCAG
rnacentral:rRNA from 1 species